rnacentral:lncRNA from 1 species
ACCCACACCGGCCAGGGAGCUGUUGGCAUCACCACAGCAGGGAAGCUAUAACGGCCAGGGAGCUGUGGCUCACCACACAGCCCGGGAGCUAUAGACGGCCAGGGAGCUGUGGCAUCACCACACAGCCAGGGAGCUAUAGACGGCCAGGGAGCUGUGGCAUCACCCACAAGGCAGGAAGCCUAUAGACGGCCAGGGAGCUGUGGCCUCACCACCCACGGCAGGGACGCUAUAAGAGGCCAGGAGCUGUGGCAAUAACCCCCAAGGCCAGGCGAGCUAUAGACCCAGGGUAGCUGUGGCAUCACCACACAGCAGGGAGCUAUAGUACGGCCAGGGAGCUGUGGCAUCACCACACAGCCAGGGAGCUAAGACGGGCCAGGGUGGGCCAGGGAGCUGUGCAUCACCACCAGCCAAGGGAGCUUAUAGACGGCCAGGGAGC